UACAGAGGUGGCAAGCGUUGUUCGGAAUUACUGGGCGUAAAGGGCGCGUAGGCGGUCUUGUAAGUCCUGUGUGAAAUCCCUCGGCUCAACUGAGGAACUGCACGGGAUACUGCGAGACUUGAGUUCGGGAGAGGGAAGCGGAAUUCCGGGUGUAGCGGUGAAAUGCGCAGAUAUCAGGAAGAACACCCGUGGCGAAGGCGGCUCUCUGGGACGGUACUGACGCUGAGACGCGAAAGCGUGGGGAGCGAACAGG
rnacentral:rRNA from 1 species